rfam:TPA: Bos taurus chromosome 4, whole genome shotgun sequence.
UCCCUGGUGGCUCAGACUAUAAAGAAUCUGCCUGCAAUGCAGGAGACCCGGGUUCAGUCCCUGGCUAGGGAA